rfam:Yersinia pestis CO92 complete genome
GCAGGUGAAUGCAACGUCAAGCGAUGGGCGUUGCGCUCCAUAUUUGUUAUACUUUUAUUUUGAAUUACUGCAUAGCAUUUAAUUGUUACGGUGCCGAUGUUGAAAAACAUCGGCAUUU